rnacentral:rRNA from 2 species
AGAGUUUGAUCCUGGCUCAGAACGAACGCUGGCGGCAGGCUUAACACAUGCAAGUUGAACGUGAUUUGUUGGGUGCUUGCACCGAGCAAUGAAAGUAGCGCACUGGUGAGUAACACGUGGGAACGUACCUUUUGGUGGGGAACAACAGUUGGAAACGACUGCUAAUACCGCAUAAGCCCUGAGGGGGAAAGAUUUAUCGCCGAAAGAACGGCCCGCGGAAGAUUAGGUAGUUGGUGGGGUAACGGCCUACCAAGCCGACGAUCUAUAGCUGGUCUGAGAGGACGAUCAGCCACAUUGGAACUGAGACACGGUCCAAACUCCUACGGGAGGCAGCAGUGAGGAAUAUUGGGCAAUGGAGGCAACUCUGACCCAGCCAUGCCGCGUGAGUGAAGAAGGUUUUCGGAUUGUAAAGCUCUUUCGGGUGUGACGAUGAUGACGGUAGCACCUAAAGAAGCCCCGGCUAACUUCGUGCCAGCAGCCGCGGUAAUACGAAGGGGGCAAGCGUUGUUCGGAAUUACUGGGCGUAAAGGGAGUGUAGGCGGUUAUGUAAGAUAGUGGUGAAAUCCCAGAGCUUAACUUUGGAAUUGCCAUUAUGACUAUGUGGCUAGAAUUACAGAGAGGAUAGUGGAAUACCCAGUGUAGAGGUGAAAUUCGUAGAUAUUGGGUAGAACACCAGUGGCGAAGGCGACUAUCUGGCUGUAUAUUGACGCUGAGGCUCGAAAGCAUGGGGAUCAAACAGGAUUAGAUACCCUGGUAGUCCAUGCUGUAAACGAUGAGUGCUUGUUGUCGGUAUUGUAUCGGUGACGAAGUUAACGCGUUAAGCACUCCGCCUGGGGAGUACGGUCGCAAGAUUAAAACUCAAAGGAAUUGACGGGGACCC